rnacentral:rRNA from 1 species
GAUGAACGCUGGCGGCGUGCUUAACACAUGCAAGUCGAACGGAAAGGCUCCUGCUUGCAGGGGUACUCGAGUGGCGAACGGGUGAGUAACACGUGGGUGAUCUGCCCUGCACUUCGGGAUAAGCCUGGGAAACUGGGUCUAAUACCGGAUAGGACCACAUUUUGGAUGGUGUGGUGGAAAGUUUUUCGGUGUGGGAUGAGCUUGCGGCCUAUCAGCUUGUUGGUGGGGUAAUGGCCUACCAAGGCGUCGACGGGUAGCCGGCCUGAGAGGGUGUACGGCCACAUUGGGACUGAGAUACGGCCCAGACUCCGACGGGAGGCAGCAGUGGGGAAUAUUGCACAAUGGGCGCAAGCCUGAUGCAGCGACGCCGCGUGGGGGAUGACGGCCUUCGGGUUGUAAACUCCUUUCGCUAGGGACGAAGCGUUUUUGUGACGGUACCUGGAGAAGAAGCACCGGCUAACUACGUG